GAAAGUGAGACAUGUUCAUUUCAAAAGCUUCCUCCACUAAGAUAGGAAAAUUGAUGAGGAUUAAUAAGGAGUUAUUUUCUUGCUUGAAGUCAUGAGUUUUAACCUUUUCCAAAAUGGUAAUGAUGCCAAAGUAAUGACUAUCUGAAAGUUAGUGAGGAAGGAGCCUUUCUGAAAUAGCCCUACAGUUGGGAGGAGGUAGAACAGUCCUUCUGGGAAUAUUGCAGGAGGCAAGGCACAAAAAGAUAACAUUGUAAACGUCUAGUAGAUGAACGCAAGUUAAUAUGGAGGCCAGGUCUGAAUCCCUCAAUGUGGGUCUCAGUUUAUUCGUUUAUAAAAUGAAAAGUUUGGACUAGAUGACCUACCCCCUGUAGUCCUUUGUGGAUGUAGAUUUAGGUUCUUAGAUUUCUAAGCAGAGUGGGCUUGUGGGUGAACAACUAGUGAGAGAGAUCUCUUUUUAGCUUCUUGAGCUUCUCCCUAAAUAGGGUAAUAAGAUAAUAAUGCAAAGUGCUGUGAAGCCAAACAUUAGGGAAAGAGCAGAUGAACUCAUGGAAAAUCAAGAGGAAAAAAGGCCACAUGCUGUCAGGUGGCACUGACACGCCUUUUCAUCUGGUGCUGAUAGGGAAAAUUGCUGGGGUAUUGCUGGUUUUUUUUUUUUUUUUUAAGAGACUAAGUUUUACUACAUUACUGUAUUCUGAAAGUCGUGGAUUUUUACUUCUUAAACAAAUUGCAAAGUGUCUUAUUUUUACUUUUUAAAAACAAGUAUGAAUAGAGAAGAAAAUCUCGCUGAGAUUCUCCACAGGGUGGUCUCACAAGCAGAAGGGCUAGAAGGCCUGUCUGCUGUGGACCACAGAUGCACGCACUGGAAACACUGGUGGGAAGGGAUCCUUCCAGAAGGCAAGAGACUGCAUUUAAAAAUCCAACAUGAGUCUUGUGGCCCAUCUCAACCACGCAAAGCUCCAGUUAGAACGAUUACCAUUCAUGGCCAAGCAUUUGUUCUGUAAACUUCUUGACUACAUAGUCCAGAAACUUCAUUAAGGGGAAAUUUGGGCAUCACUGUCAGGAUGUGACUUGCAGGCAGCUUCUCUUUUGAAUAUUCGUCACUCGAGAAAAUUCAGGAGGUCCUGAUACUCUUUGGAGGAGAAUGUGUGUGUGUAUGUCUUAUUAGGUCUGUCUCUGCCUCUGUCUCUCUGUCUCUGGCUCCCUCUCCUUCCUCUUUCUCCCCCACUUCCCUGAAUGUUCUGAGGGACAGUAAGUUUCCCUACAAACAAAGCAAAUCCCCAAGAACACCUUGCUGCUGUCCAGAUGCCUACAAAGUACACACUACCUGUAUGGUUUUCUGGUACUCUCCUUGCUUCCUGGUAUAGAAGUUAAUUCUUCCAUUUCUUUUUCUUUUUUCAGGCAGUUGAGGUUAAGUGACUUGCCCAGAGUCACAUAGCUAAUAAAUGUUAAGGGUUUGAGGCCAGAUUUGAACUUGGGUCCUCUCCACUCCAGGGUCAGUGCCAUAUCUAUUGUACCAUCUAGCUGCCUCUUAGGAGUUUCUUUAAAAGAACAUUUUGUGCUGUCCCUUUAAAACUUUCUUUCUGGUUAAAUUACUUGAAGAAUUAUUAGUUUAUUAUUUAAGGCAAUAUCCUGUUUGGGAUCUCAUAAUUUGAGAGAGGUAGAGAAUUCUGGCUAGUGUCCAAGUGAGAAAGUUUUUAAAGGCUUGACAAAUACAAUACUGGAGGUGCUGUUUAGUGAUGUUUAUCCAGGAGCAAGGGAAGUUCUCGGAGUGGGAGACAAUGCCUGCCAUUCUGCAAAUUUUCUGAAGGCAGAGAAGAGGAAUUACAUGAAGUAUGAAAAGAAUGAGCUGAAGACCUGGAGUCACUCUUUCAAAUCUUGGCCUGGAAUGGAAUAGCCAUAUGAUGUUGGGCAAGUAUUAAACCUCUUAGAGCCUCAAUUUUCUCAUCCAUAAAUGGGGAUACUGAACCUUAAGUGACCUGCUUCAGAGAGUUAUCAUGGGAAUAAGAGUGAUCUACCUUACAAUAUUGUUGUGAGGAUCAGAUGAGUUACUCGUUAAGUCCUUGACAUAGACCCUGGCCCGUUGAAGAUGUGAUUAUUCUGCCCUCCAGGUGAGGAAACUGAGACAGACAGCAAUUGAGUGACUUGGCCAGGGUCAAACAACUAGGAAGUGUCUGAAGGCUGAUUUGGACUCGGAUCUCCGAUUCCAAACCCAACACCAGCUCAUUGUGAUCUGUCAUUUUUGCACGUUUUAGUUGGUUCUAACUAAGAAAUUUAUAAACUUGCAAGAGAUGCGUGGUGACUGAGCAGUUUCACUGUGUGCGACAGAACCUUGUGCCAGUUUGUCAGCCUCCGGGUGAAGCCUACCUAGAAGCAGCAAAAAGUGGAAUUGAGUGACCAGGCCCAUUUGAACCUUACAACCCUGUGUUGUCAUAUGCUUCCCCAGGUGGUUCCAUGGAGCAGGACAAGGUAGGCCAGACUCUAUGUAUUUUCUAGACUAUAUAGAGUCUGUGCCUCCCUGGCCUUGCUCCAUGCUCUGCACUGAAGACGACUUUCUCCACAUUGCUUUGAGACUGAGAGACCUGCUCAGAGGGAGACCGUGCUGGGCCAGGGCUCUGUGAUAGAGGGUUGGCUGAGCCUGGAGGCUUGGAAGGAGGCCAUGCCAGAAGAAGCCAGGUAUCAGCAAGGUGCUAGGGAUCCAAACACAGCAAGUGAAAAGGCCCUUUACAGGAAAGGAGCUUCUCUUCCAAUGUACCUUCCCUAUAAAGCACUUGAACAAAUCUCUUUAUCUUCUAUAGAAGGGGAAUGGCCCCCAUACCUGUAUCCUACCAAGACUGGUGGUAAAAGGACAGGGUAAUAGAAGCAACAGUUGGUGCCAGGGGAAGGAAAUGAGGAGCUGAUUUUGCCCUUUGGGAGGCUCUUUCCUUCACUGCAGAUGGCCUGGGCCAGUAGGAGGAGGCUUCCUCCUUAGUAGGAUAUUAGUCACCAGGGGCCACACCGCAGCCCUCAGGACUUUGUAGUUCCUGGAAAGCGACUCCCAUUGUUUGUUUUUGUCAUUCCUAGUCCCUGUUCCCUAUGCCAAGAAGAGAAGGUAGAAAGUUUUUGAGGAGCUGGUACAACUCCCUAUAAAUGGCCUGGGGCUCUUUUCCAUAGUACAAAAAGGCAACAGGAUGGGGAAAGGCACUGGAGUCUCACGGGGGUGGAGGACAGGGGGAGGAAGUUGUGUCCUGUGGCAAUCUUUGGGAGUGUGGAUCCUUGGAAUGGUGAGAAAUGGGAUUUGCCUGUCAUCUACUUUGCUAUGCUGUUUAAAUGUUCUUCUGCUUUGAACUAAUGUUUUCUGAUUGGUUAGGUUAAAAAAAACAAACGCCUGGGGACUUAUGAGUUAUAAUCUAAAGCAGAUGUUAACACAAACAUGUCUUGAACCUGGUGUAAUUUUCAGGGACUCGCAAUCAAUGGGGGAAAGUAUAGAUUAUUUAGCAACAAAGUCCCGUGUUUUCUAAGAGAUUAUUUCCAGUGACUGCCCUAAGUAGCUCAUGUAGUGUUGUGCUGAAUGACUGCCUUGUCUGGGACCUUGCAAGUGUUUGGUACACGGUGCAACAGUCCUUUGUGAGUGUAUUGCACCUCCCACGGUGACACAAUUGUUUCAGCUGGAAAAUCCUUAAAGUUAGGGAAGUUACAGGUGCUGCUACCCACUCAGGCUGUGGCUGGCUUUUAAAGGCUCAGAAAAUGUGCCUCUUCUCCUUAAAUAUGAUCUGUGAAGUCAAUUUGGUUUUUCCACCUCGUGGUUGGCUAGCUGGAGUUGUCUCAUGACCCAUAAGCCACUUUGUGCUGUGAAUAUCAUUCAUUCAGACUCAGAUUUGUGAGCCUGGUUAAAUCACAACCUCUUUGGAUCCCAGUUUCCUCAUUUAAAACGAGAAGGUUGAUUCUGGAGAGCAGUUUGGAACUAUGCCUGGAGAUCUAUCAAACUGCAUGGCCCUUUGAUCCAGCAAUAUCAUUGCUAGAUCUAUAUCCCAAAGACAUCCCCAAAGGGGGAAAAAACUCAUUUGUACAAAAACAAAUUUGUGGUGGCAAAAAAAUGGGAAAUCAGAGAGAUGCCUGUCAAUUGGGGAUGGCUAAACAAGCUGUGGAGUAUGAUCAUUGUGCUAUAAAUAGGAUACUGUGCUAUGAGAAAUGACAAACAAGAUGAUUUCGGAAAAACUUGGAAAGACUUAGAUGAACUGAUGGAUAAUGAAGUGAACAGAACCAGGAAAGCAUUGUACACAGUAACAGCAAUAUUGUAUAGUGAAAAACUGUGAAUGACUUACUUAUUUUCAGCAAUGUCACGCCUGAUGUCUGAGUACUGGCCUUACUCAGAAGCUCCAGAUUCUCUUCUUGGUCUUCCAGCUUUCCACCAAGUUGACCUUUGGAUGGGUUUAAGCAUAAUUGCACGUGUGCUCCCUCUAGUGGUCACUUUGUGAUUUUUGAAGAAUGAAUUCAAACUAAAGGGAGAAGAAUUUGAUCUGAUCAGAGAAAGACCCUGGAUUUCCAUCCCUUCAGUUUUACUAAUGGUUCUUUGAGGUCCUAGAUAGUUAGGUACGGAGAGAAACUGGAGCAAUGAUGGAAUUGUUCCCUCGGGCAGGCAGGAAAAAGGCUCUGAUAGAGAGCAGUUGGUCCCACCUUGCUGUGUCCAACCAAGAAAUCCAAGUUAUGUUAAGCCCCUGAACUUUUUGGGGGGUCAUGGGCAACCUCACUUUGAUGUCAUGAAAUCCCAGGCAUGUCCCUGAGAUUAAAUCUUCCCCAUAAAUCUGCUUAUUGCCCAUGCCAUCUUUGCUGAACCUCCUUUGGAUCAGUCUGCCACGACACUGUCUCUUGGUGUCUUUCCCCUUGUCCCUCUCCUCUGUGUCAUGGAGUCUCUCCUAACCCAUCUAAGCCUUAUGGUGUCUCUCCUUUCGGAUCCCACUUCUCUUUAUGGCUAACUAACUCUUAGGUGCUAAAUCUCUUUUAGGAUUUAGCCUGCCAGCUAAGGACACACUCCAACCUUAUGGGGUCUUUCCUUUCUCUUGACUAAUUGUAAGUUCUACUAGGGAACUUUCCUUUCCAUCAUUAAUUAUUAAAACUAUGUACUCUCCCACUCUAUUUCAUAUUUACCAUUCUUGAUGGUCUGUUGUAUCUCUUCAUUUUAUCUGUAACUUCUUCUCUUCAAUAAACCUACUCUUUGCCAAAGAAAA